GACGAACGCUGGCGGCGUGCUUAACACAUGCAAGUCGAACGGAAAGGCCCUGCGUUCGUGGGGUGCUCGAGUGGCGAACGGGUGAGUAACACGUGAGUAACCUGCCCUUGACUUUGGGAUAACUUCAGGAAACUGGGGCUAAUACCGGAUAGGAGCUCCUGCUGCAUGGUGGGGGUUGGAAAGUUUCGGCGGGUGGGGAUGGACUCGCGGCUUAUCAGCUUGUUGGUGGGGUAGUGGCUUACCAAGGCUUUGACGGGUAGCCGGCCUGGGAGGGUGACCGGCGACAUUGGGACUGAGAGACGGCCCAGACUGCUACGGGAGGCAGAAGUGGGGAACAUUGCACAAUGGGCGGAAGCCUGAUGCAGAAACGCCGCGUGCGGGAUGACGGCCUUCGGGGUAUAAACCGCUUUCGCCUGUGACGAAGCGUGAGUGACGGUAAUGGGUAAAUAAGCACCGGCUAACUACGUG
rnacentral:rRNA from 1 species